rnacentral:rRNA from 1 species
CGGGUGGCAGCAGUAGGGAAUCUUCCGCAAUGGGCGAAAGCCUGACGGAGCAACGCCGCGUGAGUGAUGAAGGUCUUCGGAUCGUAAAACUCUGUUAUUAGGGAAGAACAUAUGUGUAAGUAACUGUGCACAUCUUGACGGUACCUAAUCAGAAAGCCACGGCUAACUACGUGCCAGCAGCCGCGGUAAUACGUAGGUGGCAAGCGUUAUCCGGAAUUAUUGGGCGUAAAGCGCGCGUAGGCGGUUUUUUAAGUCUGAUGUGAAAGCCCACGGCUCAACCGUGGAGGGUCAUUGGAAACUGGAAAACUUGAGUGCAGAAGAGGAAAGUGGAAUUCCAUGUGUAGCGGUGAAAUGCGCAGAGAUAUGGAGGAACACCAGUGGCGAAGGCGACUUUCUGGUCUGUAACUGACGCUGAUGUGCGAAAGCGUGGGGAUCAAACAGGAUUAGAUACCCGUGUAGUC